rnacentral:rRNA from 1 species
ACGGAAGGCAGCAGUGGGGAAUAUUGCACAAUGGGGGAAACCCUGAUGCAGCGACGCCGCGUGAGCGAAGAAGUAUUUCGGUAUGUAAAGCUCUAUCAGCAGGGAAGAAAAUGACGGUACCUGACUAAGAAGCUCCGGCUAAAUACGUGCCAGCAGCCGCGGUAAUACGUAUGGAGCAAGCGUUAUCCGGAUUUACUGGGUGUAAAGGGAGCGUAGACGGAACAGCAAGUCUGAUGUGAAAGGCGGGGGCUCAACUCCUGGACUGCAUUGGAAACUGCUGAUCUUGAGUGUCGGAGAGGUAAGCGGAAUUCCUAGUGUAGCGGUGAAAUGCGUAGAUAUUAGGAGGAACACCAGUGGCGAAGGCGGCUUACUGGACGAUAACUGACGUUGAGGCUCGAAAGCGUGGGGAGCAAACAGGAUUAGAUACCCUGGUA